GCAGGGCACACAAGACAGUCCCUCAGAGCAAGAGCAGGGUAGACAAGUGUGGAGAGUGAAUGUGCCAGGGGAAACUGAGAACGCGGAGCACAGCGAGAACCCUGGGACAGAAGGAUACUGCAGCCCAGAAGUCACGCUUUGGACCCCCAGUUUGGCCCAGGUACUGGUGCUGGUCCAAACACACAGGUGGGAGUCAUCUACAUUUAGCUAGUGGAGCAAGGGAGGCAGAGGCAUGCAAAAUAAGACAGGGAUGACUGGCUGCUACAGCUCCAGAUUGGGUGGAGUUUUGAAUAUUCCAAAGUCAGAAGAGGAGCCACGAUUCAACAGAUAUGUAAAGAAACCUUGGAAGAAAAUGUCUAGUCUCCAGAACUAAGAGUUAACAGAAUUAUAACUAAUUCUAACAAAUUUGAAAACCUAAUACCAGAAUCAGAGGACCAUAUAGUGGUAUCAUAUUUUUACCUGAGUAAUUGAUAUUAUAGAAAAUCAAGUUGUGGAAGAUACCUUUGCAGCAACCGCAGCCCUAAAUUCAUGUUCAACAUGU